rnacentral:tRNA from 1 species
GGAUAUAGCUCAGUGGCAGAGUGCUUGCCUAGCAUGCACGAGGUUCUGGGUUCAAUCCCCAGGACAGCCA